CCUACGGGUGGCAGCAGUGAGGAAUAUUGGUCAAUGGACGAGAGUCUGAACCAGCCAAGUAGCGUGAAGGAUGACUGCCCUAUGGGUUGUAAACUUCUUUUAUAUGGGAAUAAAAUGUUCCACGUGUGGGAUUUUGUAUGUACCAUAUGAAUACGGAUCGGCUAAAUCCGUGCCAGCAGCCGCGGUAAUACGGAGGAUUCGAGCGUUAUCCGGAUUUAUUGGGUUUAAAGGGAGCGUAGGUGGAUUGUUAAGUCAGUUGUGAAAGUUUGCGGCUCAACCGUAAAAUUGCAGUUGAAACUGGCAGUCGUGAGUACAGUAGAGGUGGGCGGAAUUCGUGGUGUAGCGGUGAAAUGCUUAGAUAUCACGAAGAACUCCGAUUGCGAAGGCAGCUCACUGGACUGCAACUGACACUGAGGCUCGAAAGUGUGGGUAUCAAACAGGAUUAGAUACCCUAGUAGUC
rnacentral:rRNA from 1 species